rnacentral:rRNA from 1 species
CACGGGGGGAGCAAGCGUUGUUCGGAAUCACUGGGCGUGUAAAGGGCGUGUAGGCGGUCAGGUAAGUGAGAUGUGAAAUGCCCCGGCUCACCCGGGGACCGGCAUCUCAUACUGCUUGGCUUGAGUACGGGAGAGGAUGUGGGGAAUUCCUGGUGUAGCGGUGAAAUGCGUAGAUAUCAGGAGGAACACCGGUGGCGAAGGCGCACAUCUGGCCCGAUACUGACGCUGAGGCGCGAAAGCUAGGGGAGCAAACGGG